GCUUAAGGGCUGUUGGUUUGUUUUCAUCCUUGGAUGUUCUAUCAAACAUGUUGCCUGUGAAGCUAAAGAACUGUUGCUUGGCACGACAUUUCAGGUGGGUUUGUGAUGUAUUUUACAACCACCAGUUCGAAGGAAGCAAAUGCACUUCAAGUACUUUCUAGUUUUCCUCAAACACAAACAAUGAGGAUGACCUGCUUUGCACAGGUGCUCCGUUGCCACUAUUGUCCAGUGGGUUUGGGAUUCAUCUGAGUUCCCUUAACAAAUUGAGUGCAAGCAAUUGUUCAUUCAUGCUUUCAGGAUACAUCUCAGGUGGGAUUCAUCUGAGUUCCCUUAACAAAUUGAGUGCAAGCAAUUGUUCAUUCAAGCUUUCAGGAUACAUCUCAGGCCAAGUGUGAAAAUGAAACUUGUUAACAUCUGGAAUAGCAAAUUACAAGCUCAAGGGGAGUGCACAAGUACACACGAUGGGAAGUCAAAAGAAGAUAAACCAUUCCUGUCAUUUGUUCCUGACCUGAAUAAGAAUUAAGAGCUGAAUGUUUCUAGUGCAUGUUUCAGUCAAUUAGCUGCAUUUCUUUCUCCCACUUCUCAAGAUUAUCUUAGACUGCAUUCUUAUUAAUCAUGAAAGCCUUAGAGAUUACAAUGUCUA